rnacentral:lncRNA from 1 species
AUUAAAGCGAAAUGUUCCAUUAAGGGGCUUGGAGGGUUAGGCGCAUAAAAGCAGUUUUUCCUAUUCCAAGAUAUGCGCGUUUAACGGUUACUGAGAUCCACUUGGAUUCUAUCUAAAAUGAAUUGGGAAUGACCACAACAAUUGGAUUGAUAAGUUUGAAAAACUGCCCGAUAACCAGUGACUAGGCGUAAAUGAUCGCGAGUAUCGAUCUCCCCAUUUGAAACUGCGGUAAAGAAUCGAUUAUUAAGGUGUUUGUUGCGAGCACCCUGUUUAUCGAUCCAUUUCCGUAGGUUUAAAUGACAGAUCAAUCGAUAUAUCGCAAAGCACGCCACGCCGCUACCGAUAACACUCCCACGCAAGCUCCAUAUAAUCAUUAUCACUCCACGCGUGGAAAGAAAAGAAAAUCCGUGAUGUAACUGCAUUCUCCUAGCUUUUGAUUUGAAAGAUGAAAUGGUGUAACGGCGGUCUGAAUUUUUCUUUACUGGGCUCAUGUGCUGUUCUAAUUUCCUACUUUUUCCUCUUGGUUUGCAAGGGCGCAAGUGCUCAGAUGUACCAUUAUAAUCUUACAAAAGAGGAUGAAAUUGAGCUUUACAAGAGAUUUAGAAAGAUCGUUGACACAAAGUCUCCUUCCUCGGAUGAAUCCCACAAUAACAAUACACGGAAAGGAAGACACCUGCUAGGGGCAUCCGUACUGACACCUUUUGAAGAAGCGAUUGCCAGUUAUGAGUUCGAUGAAGCAGAGGGACAUUUACAAGAUGAUUUACAGAGAUAUCUGGAAGACACGGCUGGAGAAGAUUAUUCUAGUGAAGUCGUGCGUUACAAGACCUUCGUGGAAGCGGAGAUGCGUCAUUUAAAUUGCCCGGUACCCCGUUAAUCAUCACUUCAAUCGUCUAGAGCAGAAACAGAACAGAUAAUUUACGAGUAUAACAUUUGUUAAUUAUGGGAGCUUCACUAUUGUUGACAUGUGGAUUUUGCUACGACGAUAGUUUGAUUGUAUAACAGCGACCAAGAAACGUAAAAAGAUCAACAAUGUGAAAAGAAUGAAAAGUAUAAUUCUUAACGGCGGCUUCGAGGAGUAAAAAGAAUGAUUCAGCACUGACUUUGGGAGUACAUUAGCAGCGACUCCCGGGGAAAAAAAGGCGUAACGAAGGAAUGGGCGCCGCGUAAGAAUAAUAAAAGCAAAGCUAUGAAACACCGGAAGUUGGAGGGUCACGGGGAGAAAAUAUAAAAGUAGCCUCUGACUAUUUGGCCGGUAGUUACCCGGAAGAAACAGCAUCCCGCAAUGCGAGCUCGAAAAGGAAUGAUGGGAGAGAUCCAUAAUACCACACAAAGUUACCGACCUUAAGAGCGGUACAGAUGCUCAUAUGAGGCUGAGAAGUUGGUAACGGAGAUAAAAGAGUAGAAAGAGCACUUUUGCACCACCACUGUCGCGUGCUUCGUAAACCUGUCUCACUGAGUGCACUUAUCGAACUCUCUGACGGGGACACAUUCCUUUCGCUUACUUUUUCAAAUUGUUCUUCCCUGAAAUUUUGCUCAGAUGCUUCUACAGCAAAAGUGAAUUAGGUCCGUUGCGCUGGUCACAGAAUUAUGUUUUGAUGCUUGAUUACUGUAGAGUAGCUAAAGCUAAUAAGAUCUGUCCAAACAGCAACUUUCUCCGUUGAAUAUUAACCGAGAUAUCGCGCUUUGAAAAAUUCGGUUUGUGAUGUCAUCCACCGCGGUAGUGACAUCGUUGGUUACUUCCACCUUGCUUUCAUCAGUCAGGGAAACACACAUAUCAUUGGUUACUCAACGUGUAACUCGGAUAAAAGCAAGGUGGAAAGAAACCAACGGUGUCACUACCGCGGUGGAUGACGUCAUUAACAGAAUUCUUCAAAGCGCGAUUUUUCGGUUAAGAAAGUUGCUGUGUGGACAGAACUUAAUGUUUUCAGCUAAUUAACAUGAAUUAAGCAUUGAAACACGAUUCUGCGACCAGCGCAAAUGACCUUUUAAAAAACCCACACCAACAAACAAAGUCUACCACAUACGCUGCUCAUAAAUGUACUCAUGAUGAAAGUUAGUGUUCAUCACAAAUAUUUAAUUUCAUUUCAGGAGGAGUUGGCAUUGUUUUGCAAAGCAUGUAAAAAAGGGGGCACCUAAAAUUAAUUGUAUCUAGGAUAUUGUUAAAAUUGUGAUUAAGAUCAUCUUCACUGCGAUUAGCCCUAAAAUACAAUAAUUAUGGGUGUGUAAAGUCAAAUGAAAUUUCACUCUCCCGAUUUUUAUCAGGGUUUUAAGAAACCAUAACCCGAGGAGGCUACAUCACAGAUAGAAUAUUAUUUAUGUAUUUAUAUCAGUAAUAAGUGAGUCCUUUACUGUUCUCUCUUACAGUGGCGUGGCAUGCUUCGCGAUAAGUCGAUUGAUCUGCCAUUCAAACCUAUGGAAAAGGAUCGAUAAAUAGGGUAUUCGCCACGGACACUUCAAUAAUCGAUUCUUUACCACAGUUUCAAAUGGCGAAAUAUCAGUAGUUGAGCAUUCACGCCUUUAAUUCGGACAACAAUCUAAUUCUCUCAGUGUGUGAUACUUAGUGUAAUUAUACUUUUUGACCACUUUAUUUUUAAAAAUGUGUGUAUUUCUGCAAAAUAAUUGAAAAUUAAUCAAAAUAAUUAACACGGAGAACCACAAAAACUUAGUUUUGACAACCGAUUUUGCGUUCCUUAAAAUUCCUCCUUCAUCGAAAACUUACUUCUCCGAAAUUGAUCAGAAAGUAGAAAUGAAUUAAGUACACGCUUUCAAGGGAAUGCCCCAAAGUGCAAAAUUUCAAAGUAAAAGACUGAAUAAAUAAAUACAUAAAUAGAUUAACCAAUAGAAGUGCCAAAUAAAUAAAAUGUAAUACCUCCAAAGGAACCAUUGGCUAUAAAGCACCAGGGGUUGUAAAUAAGAACACAACUAAAAUCUGUGAAAAGACUGAAUUAGACCCGAAAACCACUUCAAACUCAAUAAACCUUGCUCUGCAAAUUAAUGUUUCACCCGCUUUCCAAGAAAAAAGUGAGAAGGUUAUUCCACAGCGUUUAAUAUCGUCACUUUUAAAUUCAAGAAAAUCUUUGAGGUGCAUUAAAGAGAUGGAGCUGGCUUUCGAGGGUUAAAUCAUUUAGAAAGGUGACUGAGCGAAUUUUAAGCUCCUUCAAAGCGAGUUUGCAGAGUUGUGGAGGUGUUGCAGGAGAAAAAUGGAAGAAGAAAAAGAAAUAAAAAACACAUCAUUAGUUCCCAAGUGCUUUGAAAAUUCCUCGUUACGCAACCCAUUCUUCUGCUAAGUGAUGAAACACGAGGCAAGUCAGAACUUGAUCCCUUUUGUUCUAGUCUGAGCAGGUAACUGACCGGUAUUGGAGCAAAAAGAAGCAAUUGCCUGUAAAUUCUCAACCAAGUAGCUUUUCGUUUUCAAUUGUCCGUGUCCGUUCGAUUGAAAAUUGAGACGAGUAUUCCGACGCCUCUAUCCUCCCGUU